UACGGAGGGCGCAAGCGUUGUUCGGAAUCACUGGGCGUAAAGCGCGUGUAGGCGGCCGUGCAAGUCGGAUGUGAAAUCCCGAGGCUCAACCUCGGAACGGCAUUCGAAACUGCUCGGCUCGAGUCCCGGAGAGGAUGGCGGAAUUCCCGGUGUAGGGGUGAAAUCCGUAGAUAUCGGGAGGAACACCAGUGGCGAAGGCGGCCAUCUGGACGGUGACUGACGCUGAGACGCGAAAGCCAGGGGAGCAAACGGG
rnacentral:rRNA from 1 species